rnacentral:rRNA from 1 species
GACGAACGCUGGCGGCGUGCUUAACACAUGCAAGUCGAACGGAAAGGCCCUGCUUUUGUGGGGUGCUCGAGUGGCGAACGGGUGAGUAACACGUGAGUAACCUGCCCUUGACUUUGGGAUAACUUCAGGAAACUGGGGCUAAUACCGGAUAGGAGCUCCUGCUGCAUGGUGGGGGUUGGAAAGUUUCGGCGGUUGGGGCUGGACUCGCGGCUUAUCAGCUGGUUGGUGGGGUAGUGGCUUACCAAGGCUUUGACGGGUAGCCGGCCUGGGAGGGUGGCCGGCGACAUUGGGACUGAGGUACGGCCCAGACUCCUACGGGAGGCAGCAGUGGAGAAUAUUGCACAAUGGGCGGAAGCAUGAUGCAGCGACGCCGCGAGCGGGAUGACGGCCUUCGGGUUGUAAACCGCUUUCGCCUGUGACGAAGCGUGAGUGACGGUAAUGGGUAAAGAAGCACCGGCUAACUACGUG